rnacentral:rRNA from 1 species
AGAGUUUGAUCCUGGCUCAGGAUGAACGGUGGCGGCGUGGAUAAGGCAUGCAAGUUGAACGCUUAGUCCGCAAGGACUAGGAGUAGCAAACGGAUUAGUAAUAUACGGAUAACAUACCCCAGAGCGAGGCAUAACUCUCCGAAAGGAGAGCUAAUUCCUCGUACGCUCAGCGCUUGAAAUAGCGUUGAGGAAAGUCGCAAGACGCUCCGGGAGUGGUCCGUACUCUAUCAGCUAGUUGGUAAGGUAAUGGCUUACCAAGGCAACGACGGAUUGGGGGUGUGGGAGCACGACCCCCAAUACUGGGACUGAGACACUGCCCAGACACCUACGGGUGGCUGCAGUCGAGAAUCUUCGGCAAUGCGCGAAAGCGUGACCGAGCGACGCCGCGUGAUGGAUGAAGGCCUUCGGGUCGUAAACAUCUUUUCUAUGGGAAGAAUUUUGACGGUACCAUAGGAAUAAGGGGUUCCUAACUCUGUGCCAGCAGGAGCGGUAAUACAGAGACCCCAACCGUUAUCCGGAUUUAUUGGGCGUAAAGCGUCCGCAGCCGGCGUGGAAAGUGGUUUGUUAAAUCCAGAAGCUCAACUUCUGGGCUGCAGUCCAAACUUCCAUGCUAGAGAAAUGAAGAGGCAUAUGGAACUCAUGGUGGAGCAGUGAAAUGCGUUGAUAUCAUGGGGAACACCAAUGGCGAAGGCAGUAUGCUGGUCAUUUUCUGACGGUCAGGGACGAAAGCGUGGGGAGCGAACGGGAUUAGAUACCCCGGUAGUCCACGCUGUAAACGAUGCACACUAGGCAUGGGAGUCACUGACAUUUCCGUGUCGUAGCUAACGCGUUAAGUGUGCCGCCUGGGUAGUACGGCCGCAAGGCUAAAACUCAAAGGAAUAGACGGGGACCCGCACAAGCGGUGGAACAUGAGGUUCAAUUCGACGAUAAACGAAAAACCUUAUCCAAGUCUUGAAAGUCAUCAGAAUUUUGCAGAAAUGCGAAAGUGCCCGCAAGGGAGCUUUUGAUACAGGUGCUGCAUGGUUGUCGUCAGCUCGUGGUGUGAACUGUUCGGUUAAGUCCGGGAACGAGCGCAACCCUCGUCGCGCGUUAUAUGUGUCGCGAGACUGCCGUCGUCAAGACGGAGGAAGGCGAGGAUGACGCCAAAUCCGCAUGGCCCUCUGAAGACUUGGGCAACACUCGUGUUACAGUGGCCGGGACAAAGGGACGCAAAGCCGCAAGGCGAAGCAAAUCCCAUCAAACCCGGCCGUGGUUUGGACUGGAGUCUGCAACUCGUCUCCACGAAAAUGGAAUCGCUAGUAACCGUGAAUCAGCACGUCACGGUGAAUACGUUCUCGGGUUUUGUACUCACCGCCCGUCAAGUCAGAAGAGAGAGGGGCACCCGAAGUUCCUGUUUAUCAGGACCGAAGGUGACACUCUUGAUUAGGACUAAGUCGUAACAAGGCA